rnacentral:rRNA from 1 species
CCUACGGGAGGCAGCAGUGAGGAAUAUUGGUCAAUGGUCGGGAGACUGAACCAGCCAAGCCGCGUGAGGGAGGAAGGUACAGAGUAUCGUAAACCUCUUUUGUCAGGGAACAAAGGCGGGGACGUGUCCCCUGAUGAGUGUACCUUAAGAACAAGCAUCGGCUAACUCCGUGCCAGCAGCCGCGGUAAUACGGAGGAUGCGAGCGUUAUCCGGAUUUAUUGGGUUUAAGGGGUGCGCAGGCGGUCUGUUAAGUCAGCGGUCAAAGCCCGGGGCUCAACCCCGGCCCGCCGUUGAAACUGGCAGUCUCGAGUUGGAGAGAAGUAGGCGGAAUGCGCGGUGUAGCGGUGAAAUGCAUAGAUAUCGCGCAGAACUCCGAUUGCGAAGGCAGCAUGCCGGAUCCACACUGACGCUGAGGCACGAAAGCGUGGGUAUCGAACAGGAUUAGAUACCCGAGUAGUC